UAGCUAUCAAUAAGCGGAGGAAAAGAAACCAACAGGGAUUGCCUCAGUAACGGCGAGUGAAGCGGCAACAGCUCAAAUUUUAAAGCUGGCGUCCUCGACGCCCGCGUUGUAAUUUGGAGAGGCUGCUUCGGUUAGGGCGCCAGCCUAUGUUCCUUGGAACAGGACGUCACAGAGGGUGAGAAUCCCGUGCCUGGCUGGCUGCCCCUUUCCGUGUGAAGCGCCUUCGACGAGUCGAGUUGUUUGGGAAUGCAGCUCAAAAUGGGUGGUAAAUUUCAUCUAAAGCUAAAUAUUGGCGGGAGACCGAUAGCGCACAAGUAGAGUGAUCGAAAGAUGAAAAGCACUUUGAAAAUAGAGUUAAAAAGUACGUGAAAUUGUUGAAAGGGAAGCGCUUGAGACCAGACUCGGCCGUAGAUGAUCAGCCGUCCUUCUGGGCGGUGCACUCGUUUCCGGUCGGGCCAGCAUCGGUUGAGACGGCGGGACAAAGGCCCCUGGAAUGUGGCUCCUCUCGGGGAGUGUUAUAGCCCGGGGCGCAAUGCCGUCAGCCUCGACCGAGGACCGCGCCUUUGUGCUAGGAUGCUGGCGUAAUGGUCUUCAGCGACCCGUCUUGAAACACGGACCAAGGAGUCUAACAUCUAUGCGAGUGUUUGGGUGUCAAACCCUUGCGCGUAAUGAAAGUGAACGGAGGUGGGAACCCCCCUCACGGGGCGCACCAUCGACCGGUCCUGAUGUCUUCGGAUGGAUCUGAGUAGGAGCAUAGCUGUUGGGACCCGAAAGAUGGUGAACUAUGCCUGAAUAGGGUGAAGCCAGAGGAAACUCUGGUGGAGGCUCGCAGCGGUUCUGACGUGCAAAUCGAUCGUCAAAUUUGGGUAUAGGGGCGAAAGACUAAUCGAACCCAUCUAGUAGCUGGUUCUGCA
rnacentral:rRNA from 1 species